GUAAUGCAGCUCAAUGGUAGAAUGCUUGCCUAGCAUGCAAGAGGCCCAGGGUCCAAUUCCUAGCUACA
rnacentral:tRNA from 1 species